AAAAAAAAAUUUUGUGGACUCUUCAUGAAUCCAGAGUAAAAGGCCCUUGUCUAAAUGCAGUCCUUUCCUUUCAGCUCAGGAAGCUGCCGGGAAGUAUCUGGAAUCAGCUAGUGUGUGCAACGAGGGGGCUGAAGAUGGUGGUGGGGCCGACUGAUUCAGAGAUGAAGAGGUGUUUGAGAGCAGAGCUGGGCUUUUUAUGAGGUUUACGACGCUGGUAAACCAGAGGCGACAGAUGAGAAAGAUGUGGAGCAAGAGAUGGUGUAGGGUGGCUGGGAAAGGAGUGUAGAGCGAGAAGAAGAAAUGACUAACAGUCACAUGAAAGUGACUGCAAACGGCCCUGUAUUUUCAAUACCUCAGGUACAUGUUUAGUUUUGCGGGGUUUAAUGGGUGUAGAUGAAAGCCUGAAACAGUGACAGUUUGGGCUGCAAAAUGUACAUUCGAACGGUAAAAAAAUGAAACCAUUUGCUAACAAUACUAAAACAUUUUUAAACCAUUCUAGAAAAAAAAAAAACCUUUUUUUUUGGGGGGGGGGGGGGGUUCUUUUUCUUUCUGACUUUGAUGUAAGGAAGUUCUGCAGUUUGCAAAAAGACAGCACGGCAAAACACCAAGAUGGAGUAAGUGGUGUAUGGAGAGACUGAGAGAAGACUGAGGGGGAAGAACGAGAACGGAGCAGAAAAGCUCACUCCUCUGCACAUUUCCUUUCACAUUGAGUUCCACUGGUGUUCUGGUCACUUCCACUUGUCGCGGUACAGGCCAGUGAUGGCUGACACAUUGUGUAUGAUCGUUGUGGGCCUUUGGCUGAUCACUGCUGAGUCUUCAACAUUAACACCUAUGAAAGCACUAGCGAACAAUUCACAAUCUCUGAAUAACAGCCUAAUAGAAACUACCAAUACUACUACUACUACUACUACUACUACAGCUAAUACUACAUGCCCUCCCUGCUCGCCCACUCUUCAGCAGUCUACCCAGUCCAAGUGCAAACCAAGACAAUGUCCAGACUGUAGAGAAGAAGUGGUGGCCUAUAAAGUGGUUACUGCUCUGUUAUGCAUUUUUAUCAUCGGCGUUCUGUUGUUACGGUUCGGUGGACCCACGUAUUCAGCCUUACGUAAAAGAUUGUUACAGAACAGACAAGAUCGAUGGAUUGGCCCUAUGCAAAGUCAAAGUGUGUCCUAUCAUAGAAACCAACAGUCUGGAUUAUAUCCAAACAAUGAGACCGUCAAGAGACACUCAUUCCCAGGGCUGGAAAGACUAACUGUGAACUCGAGCAGAGAGCCCUCAUCUAACAGGAAUAGUGACUACUCCUAUAAUUAAUUGACCGGCCAUCAUAACCACCGUUUUUAAUUAGUUUCCAAAGAAGACAAAUAAAUAUAAAACACCCUGUAUAUUAAGUUGUAUU
rnacentral:lncRNA from 1 species